AUGACUGAUGAAUUCUACUCCUUGUCCAAUGUGAAAUUGCCUCAGAAUGCUGACAACAUAGGGGCUGCUACCAGUGCUAGAGAAUGUGCAGAAGUUUGCCUGAGAAAUUGCUCUUGCACUGCAUAUUCUUGCACCAACAGUCGAUGCUCUAUUUGGCAUGAGGAACUCAAUGUAAAACAACAGCAUGCUGACACUACUGACACAAAUGAUGGUGCAGUUCUUUAUCUUCGCCUUGCUGCAAAAGAGAUGCAAACUCAGAAACCUGGCAGAAGAGUGACCGCUCGGAUUUUGGCAGUUACCAUUGUCACUGCCCUGGGGUUACUGGCACUCACAUUGCUAGUUCUUAUAUUGAUGAUUCGGAGGAACAAUAGGAGUUGGUCUGGUGGUACACUGAUAAAUCUUCAAGACGGUGGUGGAAUUAUUGCAUUUAGAUACACUGAUUUGCAGAGGGCAACAAGAAAUUUCUCGGAGAAGCUAGGUGCCAGCGGCUUUGGUUCUGUGUUCAAGGCAUGUCUGAGUGACUCGGUCACAAUGGCAGUGAAAAGGCUUGAUGGUGCUUGCCAAGGAGAAAAACAAUUCAGGGCCGAGGUGACUUCAGUUGGGGUUAUACAACAUAUCAAUUUAGUUAGACUGAUUGGUUUCUGCUGCGAGGGUGAACGAAGGUUUCUUGCAUAUGAGUACAUGCCAAAUCGUUCUCUUGACAUCCAUCUAUUUCAGAACAACAACACAGUUUCAAACUAG
rnacentral:rRNA from 1 species